rnacentral:rRNA from 1 species
GACGAACGCUGGCGGCGUGCUUAACACAUGCAAGUCGAACGGAAAGGCCCUGCUUGCCGGGUACUCGAGUGGCGAACGGGUGAGUAACACGUGGGUGAUCUGCCCUGCACUUCGGGAUAAGCCUGGGAAACUGGGUCUAAUACCGGAUAGGAGCCAUUUUUAGUGUGAUGGUUGGAAAGUUUUUUCGGUGUAGGAUGAGCUCGCGGCCUAUCAGCUUGUUGGUGGGGUAAUGGCCUACCAAGGCGGCGACGGGUAGCCGGCCUGAGAGGGUGGACGGCCACAUUGGGACUGAGAUACGGCCCAGACGCCUACGGGAGGCAGCAGUGGGGAAGAUUGCACAAUGGGCGCAAGCCUGAUGCAGCGACGCCGCGUGGGGGAUGACGGCCUUCGGGUUGUAAACUCCUUUCGCUAGGGACGAAGCUUUUUGUGACGGUACCUAGAUAAGAAGCACCGGCUAACUACGUG